rnacentral:lncRNA from 1 species
UUAAAAUUAAGGCGUGGUGGCUACACCAAAUUAGGUCUUUAGGGAAUUGGAUGAUUUUACCUGCUCUAUGUGGUUCGACCCUACUUAUCAUUAUACUCACUUAAUUCUUGAUAGUAUUGCAGGAAUUAUUUGGUGGUAUAGGAUGACCACCAAAAUGGCGUCGUUGCCGGGAAGCGGUGUUAAUUGAAUUCUUUUCCCUUUUGAUCUAUUUUUCUUUUUAUUUUCUUUUUGCUAAUGAGCAGAUCUUCUAAGCCGAAUCUCCUAUACGAUUGUGAGAUCGAGAGAAAUUUCGGGUUCGCAUGAAGAAAUUUAUCAUGUUUGGGCAAACAGAACGUAUUUCCAGAAGCUGUCAAUUUCGGGUGGGCAUAAAGAGCCUUGAUAGAUUCUUUGACUUCUUCAUUUUUCAUCCCACGAG